AUUUAACUCGUAAACUUAUUAUAGGUUACAUUAUUCUAACAUUAUAUUAUAUACUACAUAAUAAAGUAAUGCAGAUCAGAGCAGCGACAGAGGAGCUCGAACGAUGAUUAAGGCGACGAAUUGGGUAAAUAAUCCAUGUGAUGUGACCUCUCUUCACAGUCCCAGUAUUCCCUUAUUUUGUAUUUACGUGAAGUCUCACCAUUUCCCUCAUCACCAACCUCUCAAUUAAGAACUCUAAUCUGAAAUAUCAAAUAUCUCCCGUCUCCUUUUUC
rnacentral:lncRNA from 1 species